rnacentral:rRNA from 1 species
UAUUGGUCAAUGGGCGAGAGCCUGAACCAGCCAAGUCGCGUGAAGGAUGAAGGAUCUAUGGUUUGUAAACUUCUUUUAUAUGGGAAUCAAGUGAGGAACGUGUUCCUUUUUGUAUGUACCAUAUGAAUAAGCAUCGGCUAACUCCGUGCCAGCAGCCGCGGUAAUCCGGAGGAUGCGAGCUUUCUCCGGAUUUAUUGGGUUUAAAGGGUGCGUGGGUGGUUAAUUAGGUCAGCGGUGAAAGUUUGUGGCUCAACCAUAAAAUUGCCGGUGAAACUGGUUGACUUGAGUAUAUUUGAGGUAGGCGGAAUGCGUGGUGUAGCGGUGAAAUGCAUAGAUAUCACGCAGAACUCCGAUUGCGAAGGCAGCUUACUAAACUAUAACUGACACUGAAGCACGAAAGCGUGGGGAUCAAACAGG